rnacentral:lncRNA from 1 species
GAAGAUGUGGAGCGGUUGGAGUUGGGGGCAUAGUUUGUUGGUUUCGUAUUUGGAUUCUUUUGCUGGUAUAUAAAUAUUUAUUAUUAUUAUUAUUUUAUUGUGAUUUACGCGCUAAUGCCGUCCUCCCUCGGUAAGCUUCGCCAAGGCAAGGCCAGAAGCACUCCAACAUAGCCUCAUCUACUACUCUCUCUCUCUAUAUAUACAUAUUUCUUGCUAUAUCUAUAUAUAUCCCCCAUAUAACCUUCACUUUCAAUAUCGACAUAACUUAAUAUCUCUCUUUAGGAUAUUAUUAGCUAUCUGAUUAUAGUUUAAGUAGUACGUAUCAAUUAGCUUAUAAUUAUUAUCAAUAUGAAUCAGUAUGAUCAAAAUCAACCCCAAGGAGGUACGUGUGUGUUAAUUGAUUGAUUUAAAUUUUGAUUGGAAAAUUUAAGAUUAAUUUGGAUUUUGAUUGAAUUUGCAGUCGCAGUCUCGUAUCCUGCAAUUUCAAGCCCUUAUGCAGCUCCGCCGCCUGCUGGUUACCCCACGAAAGACGGUGCCGAUCCCCCUGCUGGUGCUGAUGGACCUGUAGAAACUAAAUCGAGAGGUGAUGGAUUUUGGAAAGGAUGCUGUGCUGCCUUGUGUUGCUGCUGUGUAUUGGAUGCUUGUUUCUGAUCAUUCCCCUUAAUUUGUCAUAUGAUCAUAUUGUCUUCUCAAUUUAUUUUUUUUUAAAAUUUUAGUUUUAUCACUAUUGUAUUUAUGUAUUAUGUAUGUAUGUUGUUGGGCCAUGAUUCUAUUCUUUAUUGGGCCAAACUUAAUGGGCUCCUUCCUUGGAUUAUGUUAUUUUUGCUUUGUUGGUCCGAAUGAUUUGGGCCCAAUUAUUUGAUUAUUUCAUUGGGUCCUUUCGGUUGAAUUCGGUCGUAUGGGUUAUUUCCGUCAUCUGGGCUUAGUCAUUGAAUUGGCCCAUUAUACAAAUUGCCACUUAACCCAACUUUGACCGAUAAUCAUUACGCCAAAUAAUAUUUGACUAUUAUGUCUGCCACCUUUCUGCAUGACAUUAAUGAGGAUGAGACUCAGAUGACCGGCGGUGGCAAAUAGUGGUAGCAGGUGAGAAAGUAGGUUACAUACUUUCGACUGAAAUGACCGGGAGUGGGGAAAAGGUGUCAGGAGGUGAUGGGUGGCACGGUAAACCGGGAUUGGAGUACGUAUGGGGCUAGGAUCACAAAAAGGAAGUAAGUAACAAGAUAUUACAACAUAUAAUCAUAAUAUUAUUCUCUCUCAGGCAUUAGACAUUAUUUUUCCUCCAUUGUUAACCUUAUGAUCGCCGAUAUUGACUCUCACGCCGAAACUAUCCUCCGACGGUCAAGCCGUCAAUCUUUUGGUGUUGACUUGUUGAAUUGUGCAGGAUAUCGGACUCGUCUUGAUGAUUGGGACGUGGAGAAAGAUCCUGACGUUAACAUAUGUACUAAAGAGAGAUUUGGAAGGAUUGAUUUAGUGAUUCCAACUAUUGAUACAUACUAUUCAUCUAUUCUAUUGUAGUUGAGUUAGUGAUGCUUAUGAUCCCAAAUCUACAUUUAUGAGUAAAAUUCCAUUGUGUUUAAAUCAUAUAGAGUUAAUUUUUGAGAAAGAUUGGAGUGCGUUGACCAAAGAGUUAUCACAAUAUUUUAUUAAAGAGUAAUGAAUUCUUUGGGAAGGUGUGAGAGAUUUUUUUUUUUUGUAAUUUUCUCUUGGUCAUUAUUUUUAUCCAAAUAGAUUUUUCAUGACAAGCUUGUCAUCUUUUUUCAUUCGCUGAGUUUUUUUCACUGAAUUUUUUUAACAAAAUUUUAAUAAAAAAUAAUAUUCUAUUUUAAGAAAUCAGGGGCCAAGAGAUUUCAAACUAAUGGGACCAUAACUAGAUAUUUUUCUUUCUAGUCAAUUAUUUGAUUUGUAAUUCACUUCAUUUUGUUUUUAUUAGGUCAUUAUUUUUACAGGGGUAAAAAUAAUAAUCUAAUUUCUUUGUAAUUUUCAUACGAAAUACGACUCCUUUUAAUUUCGAGACAUCUUGCAAAACCUUAUCUUAAGCUUCUUGCUAUGGUGGAUAAAGGACUUAAUCCUAUAUUAUUAGAACUAACCAAUGUCAUUAAAAAUCAUACCUAGACAUGUUUGGACUCUAUUCCUAAAAUCGUUCUAGUACAAUCAAUAAAUCCAUUUAUUAAAAUACAAACAUAUUUAAAACAGAAGUUUUAAGAAUUAAUUGAGAGUGGAUUGAUUGUUAAGACUAUGAACUAUAUGAAAAAUUAAUAAUUAUCAUCCUUAGCCCAAGAUGAUAGUUCUAUAAAGACUAUUAGCAUGAUAACGAGUUUAAUGUCUUAACUGGAGAAAGCCAAGAGAUUUUUCUGAUUUUACCCCUACCAUGAUUUCUGAAAAGAUGGAACAAAACAAGAAAGAAAAAAAAAAAGUCUAAAUUUACUUUCAAUCUUCAGAAAAUAUGCUCAAGACGACAACCAAAUGUCUCCACCAACAGGAAAAGAGAAUCUAGUUAUCCGCUCUCCCUAAUUUCUUUAUAAAUUUCAUAGAAAAUACUGUAGGUCAUAGUUGUGACAAUUUUGUUCGAUCCCAAAUUUAGUGUGACCAUAUUUAUUUCCUUAUAUUAGUGUUGGAUUUGGAAUUUAGCCUUCUCGCAACAACAUGUAUAAUUAUUCUUAAAAUUAAUCUUUUAUGGUAUAAUUAUAUAUUCAUUUAAGUUAAUUCAUUAAAACUAAAGUAUUUGAGUAAUGAAAAUAUUGUAUGUUGCUUGUUUUUGAAUUAAAAAAAAUAUUUAAAAAAUUUGGAGUAUAAGAUAUUAUUUCCCAUGGCGGGUGAGUAUCAUGAAAAAUAACACAUUAAUUUGCCAGCCCAUUGGUCAAAACACCUUUACACAAAAUAUUAUAGUGUCAAAAAAUGCUUUUAUCUGUCGCUAUAAUCACUAUUAGAUACUCCAUAAAAUUCUAUGCCAAAGAGAUCAUCAUUGAUGGAUAUUCAUUGCAACAAUUCUUAGACACUGACACUGAACCUCUCUAUAUCACUCAAACAAAUGUGAAAAUAUUUGACCAAGUUGGAUUGCGAUUAAUUUGAAAGUAUAUGCGAUACAAUAAGUCUAGGAGGAUAUUUUUUUAGUGACAUUUUUUUUUGUAGUACCUCCCAAAAAAAUAUAGUAUUUAUUCCAACUGAAAUGUUUACAAAAAACAGUAUUUUAGGUGUAAUUUGGAUACAUACAAGAAACAGAAUUGUACAAACUGUAAACAGAGUUGUAACCACCAAUGGCCAUAUCUUAUUCUAAAUUUAAAUUGAUUAGUGAAAUUGGGAUGUGUUAUUUCAGGGAGUGGUUAACAUGAAAUUAAAUUUCGUCAAUUGACCAAUAUACGCUUGAUACACAGGCCAUGAGGUGAUCUCUUUCUGCGUGUCAGCACUGUAUUAAUUAAUUGAUCAAUUUACCAUGAAAUUAACUCCAUGGUAACCGGACAGUAAUAAAUGUUGUAGUCAGCUUAGUGUAGAAGUUUUAAUACAGACUCGCAGCAUAUAAAUUGUGCCUACAAUAAUAUUAACAAUCCUGCUGCUGCUGGUUACCCCACGAAAGACGGUGCCAAUCCUCCUGCUGGAUUCUGGAAACGAUGCUGUGCUGCCUUGUGUUGCUUGUUUCUGAGCGAGAAUUGGAAUUUAUGUGUUAAAUGAAAUCAUCUAUAUAACUUUUUUGUUUAUUAUUUAUUUUUAUUUAAGAAUAUAUAAAUUAGACCUUUUGUGUGUGUAAUGAAGGAGGAAUUUAUUAUUUCAGCAUUCCUUACUUAGCCCAACCCAGCCCAGCCCAAUAUUUUCAUCCUUUAAAAGCUAAUCCAUGGGCCGAGGACCAAGGUUUUAGAAAUAAUACUGUUCAACUCUCCAAUAAGCCUGUCUAACCCUAGGGUUUUGGUCGGGAGAAGAGAGAGAGGAGAGCCGUCGUUGAUCUAAAAUGGUCAAGUUUUUGAAGCCAAACAAGGCGGUCAUCGUCCUGAACGGUCGAUACGCCGGACGGAAAGCCGUGAUCAUCAAAUCCUUCGACGAGGGAACCCGAGACCGUCCUUACGGUCACUGUUUGAUUGCGGGGAUAUCCAAGUACCCGAAGAAGGUGAUAAGGAAAGAUUCAGCGAAAAAAACAGCAAAGAAGUCAAGGGUGAAGGCAUUCAUCAAGCUGGUGAAUUACAACCACAUUAUGCCGACUCGUUAUACUCUGGAUGUGGAUCUGAAAGACGUUGUCACCGUCGAUUGCCUCCAGUCACGUGACAAGAAGGUGACCGCCGCGAAGGAAACCAAGGCCCGCCUUGAGGAGCGGUUCAAGACCGGAAAAAAUCGCUGGUUCUUUACUAAGCUUAGGUUCUGAAUCUGGAUCUGUUUUCAUUUUGGUUAUGAAAUGUUAGUUGUUAAUGAGAGAGAAUAUGAACUGAUUCUGAAGUAACAUUUCUUUGAGUUUUGACUUGUUUAUCUCAUCAUAUUUGGAAGUGGAAGUUAUAUCAAAUCAUUUUGGUUUGCCAAUUUUUUCUAAUGGUUCGUUAUGAUGCAGUUAUGUUAGUAUCCAAAUGGGUGUUGAUUUAUAAGCAAAUUGUUCUGAAUUGUGUUUGCAUAAUUUCUGUAGUUUUUUAAAGAAUUAUUUCCAAUUUAUUUAUCAAAUGGGGCUUUCAUUUUGUUUGUCAUUUGCUGUAGAAGCUAGAGCUGCAUGGUAUAUAUCCAAAGGGUGGUAGAUUUCCUCAUUUUCUUCUUUGAUUAAUUAUACUUUGCAGAUUAUACAGUACAUGUAUUUGCUGUAAUUCUUUGUCUUUUUUAUUUGUAUAGAAGAAGCUGCUUUUAUUUAUAAAUCAACUGCACAGCCCUCCUAGAUUGAUCUGAAUAUGGUUGUCAACUUGUCAUAAGCUAUUUUAGUUGGAGAUUUGAGAAUGAUCUAGUUUGCUUGGCUAUAUUGUGCUGCAGUUGACAACUCAUAAUCCGUAGCUAUAGGAUCUAUAGCGACACUUUUGUUGUGAAAAUAACAAAAAGUGUUGUGGAUUUAACAGUUCCCUAAAUUUUUUAUCAAUAUAACUAUCACCCAUCUCCCAUAAAUAUACAGAUACUCUCCAGUAACCCUCCUGGGGGUUUUGGUGGAGAAAAGAGACCAUUUUUGAUAAUUUGGCCUAUAUUAUUGUGUUUGAGUGGUGUUAUUUUGCUAUUUAUAGUUUGUACAACUUGUAUUGCAUAUAUGUGAUAUGUUGGUCAGAUGACAUCUAGUUUGAAAAUGGAUCUCAUUCUUCAGUUGCAAUUUGGCUGUUAUACCAUGAAAAAGAUGUCUAUGAAUGUCUUUUUGUGUAUAGAAGAAGAAACUGCUUAUAUUUAUAUGACAAUUGCACAAAGAUUGUUUUGUUACUGCUGCUGCUGCUGCUGCUUUACAAAGCCAAGGUUCUGAAUUUGUAAGAUUUAUUUGAGUUUUUGACUUGUUUACAUCUCUGUUUAUCAUAUAUUUGGAAUCUCUAUACUUGAAAUAAAUAUGAUAAAGAUUCAUCCAUUUUACCAAAAAUGCUUCAAAAUCAGUCGAUCAAAAACUAAAUAAAUACACAUUUCCAAUCUGCUAUGCAUACAUGGCAUGAGUAGGGGGACCAACUUUGAGUCUAACAACAAAUUAGAAUGCCACCAAACUUUUCCAAUCUGCCAUGCAUAAAAUUACAAGCAGAGAGAACAGAGAUAAACCAAACCAAGAAAACUUGGAGAUCCAUGGCUAGUAUUUCUUUCCAAGAACUACACCAACAAUCACCGAAAUCAGAGCUACACCCAAAAUGAACUUAAAGGUCAUGCCAGAAGAAACCUCAUUGUUUUGAGUUUGUGUGUCUGAAGAAGAUGAACUUCGAGCACAACUUCCUUCUAACUUUUUCUUGUGUCUGCGUUUCGAUGGAGUUGAAAUAGGGGAUCCAGUUUCCCUAUAUUUCACUUCCAUUCCUUCCUUCAAUUCAUUCGAACCGGCUCCAGUAUCCUACGAAAAAGUUAUGCAUAGGCAGUAGUUGAAAUUGAUUUAGACGCCACCCACUAACGAUGAGUUGAUAUGACUACUUGUACUAAUCUCAUGAUUAGUCCGUUAUAAAACGCUUAAGAUAGGAUGAUGUUUUACUGAUUAUAUUAUUUAUAAAAAAAUUCAUUACCUCUACAUUGACUAGAGCAUCACGUGCUGCUAAUUGUUCUUCAAACUUCUUCAAACAAUCAUUCAACUCAGAUUUCUUUUCAAUCGCAGCCUUGAGAUUUUCCAUCUCAGCUUUCAAAGCAUUUUCAUUUGAUUUUUGCUCUUUCAAUUGUCCUUCAAGUUCCAUAGUCUGCAGCUCCUUUGCAUUUUGAUGUGUUGAUUCAGUGAGGGGUAAAAUCUUAAGUUGUAACUCGUAACAUAAUCAUAUCAGAGAUAUGAUGGAGACUAAAAUCUCAUAAAAAUAUUUAUAUAAAAAAAAAAAUCAAAAAUCCAUUUUAUGUAACUAUGCAAUAUGUGAUUAUUAAUUACAAACCUGAGAUUUGAACCUUUGCCUAUCCAAAGUAAGCUGCUGUUUCAAAUCUUCUACUUCUGUCUUUGAAGCGUGAAGCUGUUCAACUGCUUCAUCCUUAUCAGAAUAUGUUGAAAACAAUUUUGUUUGUAGAUCAUUCACUUUAGAUUCAUACACAGCCAGUCCCUGGGUAAGUUGCUGAGAAGUAGCUUCCUUUUCAACAUACUCGGAAUUCAGUAAUUCUUGAAGCUCAUUAAUCUUGCUCUUGAGCUGUGUAUUUGUCUCGACUAAUAGUUCACUCUCUGAUAAAGAUUGUGCAGCUUUAUCUUCUGCUUCUAAGAUCCAUUUCUUAAGUUCUUCAUUUGCAUUCUCUGAGAAAGCCAGUUUCAAUGAAAUGAUAUCGAAUUCGUCCCUCAAAGAUGCAUAUCUUUCAGCUGCUUCAGAUGUUUGCUCCUUAAAAAUCAUAACUUGAUGUUCAAGAGCCUGCACUUUUUCAUACAAUGAUUUUAGCUCGAAAUCUUUGCUGGUGAAACUUGCAAUUGCCUCUUGAAGUUUCAAUUCUGAGUCUUUGGUUACGGUUUCAUGUUCUUGCAUUUUCACUCGUAGCUGCUUUUUUUCUUCCUCAAUAUUUUCCAAUGUGGAGCUGAGUUCAUAUAUCUUCUCAGAGAACUCUUUUAUCAAAUCUUCCUUUAAAUUAAGCCUCUUUUCCAUGUCCACAACUUGUGAUUUCAAAAUCUCCAACUCCCCUUGAACUAUAGAAAGUUCAGCAUUUCUAACUUUGAGUGCUGCUUCGACUUUUUCAUUUUCAGCAAUCUUCGCAUACAAGCCCUUGACUUCUUCUUGUAAAAUAGCCAUUUGAGCUUCCACUUCUUUGGCACUCAGUUUCGCCAUUUCAAGCAAUCUCUCAAACUCCAACGCCUUUUUUGCCUCAAAUUCAGCAUGAAAACCACUUUGCUUGUGUAACUCCUCAAACUUUAGUGCCUCACCUGUGGAAAAAUGCAGCUCCUGUUCUACCUCCAACAUCUUCUUUUUCGAGCUCUCUAGCUCAAGAUUAAGACCAUCAAAAGCUUCCUUCACACCGAUCAACUCCCUUUGCUUUGCUUCUUGAGCUUGCAAUACCUCUUGCAAUGUAUUAAGCUGCACAUUAUAUCUCUCUUCAGAAUCAUAAAUCUGAUCCUGUAAUUUCCUGUGACUGAGCUCAAGCUCAUCGUAUCGUUUCCCACUUUCUUCCAGCUUCUCCUUUGUAAGAAAAACUUUAUUGUUUAGCAUAAUAUUCUCAGAUUCAGAAUGCUUUAAAGCUCCAGAUACUGCUAAUAAUUGAAGCUCAAGUUCUUUCACCUUUACUUGGGAUUCUAGAAUUUCUCUGCUUGGAUAUGAAUUGCUUGAGCUUUGUUCAUUAGCACAAGGCUUUCCAUCUACAACAGAUUCUUUCUCUUCUUGUAUAAAUUCUCCUUCAAAGGUAGUUUCAUCCACUUCUUUUACCUGUUGUAAAGAUUUUCAAAGCAAAUAUACUACAACUCUUUAACCUCUAUUGUACCCUUUCACCCAAUUUGGGAGAAAGGUAUAAUUGAGGGAAUACUAGUCCCUAUAUGCUCAAAACAAGAUUUUUCCAAAAAAAAUAUAUCUUCUGAAUUUUUCGAAACCACAUAUUUAACCAGUGUUUUAUUUCCCCUUCCAAAGUUAAAUAUAACUAAAAGGUAAAUCAUAUACAUAUUUACCUUAUUGGGAUCAACAUUGUUGGCCAUCUCCUUAACAACCUUUGCUACUGGUACCUCUGAACUUGCUAGUAUUUCUUCCUCCAUUGCUGCAGUUGAUGAACACCCAGCCAAAGCCUACCAAAUGAAGAUACAUAAAACCAUAUUACCUAUGUCCAAACUUCUACAAUAAUAAGAGUUUCACUUUACUUUUUUUUUUUUCUGGCUAAUUAAGCAUUGUCAUUAAAACUCUUGCACGUAACAUAUGGAAUUAGUAAAAACAUUUUAAGUAAUUAUAUCUAUUUUUUUUGAAGUAUUGUAACUGAAAUAAGAUCUUGAAUUAUACUAUUACAUAAUUAUAUUAAAACUGAUCAAACAAAUCCAUAUCAAUCUGUUAGAUUGCGCACUUUUUGAAACAAGAAAAAUUGAUCAUGUUUUCAUCCAGCACAGCAGAAAAAGAGAGAGAGAGAGAGAGAGAAUUAAUGAGGGAUCCAAGAACCCAAUAGACAUAAAUAAUCAAAUCAAUGAACAUGAUUAUUAUUAUCUAGUAGUAGAAGAAACAUAGAAUAUAUAUAUAUAUAUAUAUAUAUAUAUAUAGAGAGAGAGAGAGAGAGAGAACCUAAAGGGAAAAUGAAAAUAGGAGAGAUCGAUGUUGGAGCUAGCUUGCCUGCCUGCCUCAAAGCUGAUUUAAUUAUUUCUUCCUUUUUUUUCUAUUUUUUGCUUGCUGCAAGGGCUUCCUUCCUUUGUUUGAUUUUCUAGAGAGAGAAAAAAUGAAGUAGAAGUAGAAGUAGAAGUAGAAGUAGUAGUACAGUACUCACAAGGUCCCAACUCAACUGUAAUUCUGUGGGAGAGAAAGAGGAAAAAGAGUGGGUCCCUUAAACAGCCAGCCAUAGCCAAUUGCUUCUUUGUUAAGUAGUCCACUCCCUAAAGGUAAACCUACAAGUCCACAGUCUAGCCCUAUUCUCCCCCCAAUAAAAAGUGGGUAGGCUAAUAAAUAAUGUUAUUAUCAUAUAAAAAAUACUCAUAUAACAUAUAUAUAUAUAUAUAUAUAUAUAUAUAUAUAUAUAUAUAUAUAUAUAUAUAUAUAUAUAUAUUUGUGAGCUUCAUAUAUAGAUCUGGUUAGUAUGAAAUUUAUUUUUUGGUAAGUUUAUCAAUUAGCCAAUAGAAUGUUGAUAUACAUAGAGUCUCGUUUGCGUGUCAGCAAUCUAUUGGUCCAUAAUAUAUAUGUGUGUGUAUAUGAAUAUUAUAUUUUAUGUAAUAAUAGCAUUGUUGGUAAUAAUUGGUGAGUUCUUUUCCUUUUGUCCUUUUAUUUUCUAGUUGCAGAGAAUUACAAGAGAAUAAGAAUGGAAAAAGAGUGACAUUUUUUAUAUACUUCCCUAGAUACCAUCCCAGCCAAAUCCUACCAAAUCAAGAUACAAACAUUUUUCCUUAUUAAAACUCUUGCACAUAAUUUUAUUCUCAAAAAUAGUUUUACCAUAAAAUUUUUAAAAUUUAACUCCCUCUACUUUAUACAAAGUCUCAUUUAUCAAUUUUUUUGUUUCAAAAAAAAAUUCAUUUCUUUUAUUAAUAGAAUAUAAAAUGGUACAAUGUACACAAGUUUGUUAUCGGAAUUUCAUUAUCAUGCUAACAUUACUGGACUAGCAACUUCAUGGUUUUAGGAGUACGGGACUCUUUGUUUAGGGUUGCAUGGUUGAAUCAGUCAGUAAUUCAGACGAUUUAAACUAAAUAGUUUAGUGUCAUUUUUUUGACUAAAUGAGUUAAAUAAAAAAAAAAUUAUACAAUAUUAACUAUUAUAUUAAAUAAAUUAUAUUAAGUAAUAUUAUACAAUUUUUUUCAUUCAGAUUUAGAUUUAUUCAGUUUUUAUAACACCCCCUAAAUAUGAAACAAGAAUACAUCAUUAAUAUUUGAAAAUAACUUCGAAAUAAAGGUUCAAGUAAGCAAGAUUCUGAUAUAUUCAAUCCUAUUAAUGAAGCAUCAAUUGUACAGAAAAAAAAAACUGAAAGAAUUCAGGUAAAACCCCACGGCAAAGGAGUGGGGGGAGGGGGGUAAUUUCNNNNNNNNNNNNNNNNNNNNNNNNNNNNNNNNNNNNNNNNNNNNNNNNNNNNNNNNNNNNNNNNNNNNNNNNNNNNNNNNNNNNNNNNNNNNNNNNNNNNUAUCAAUUCAGAAAGAGGAAAUUUGAACCAUAUUAAUACCCGUAAUAUUCCAGAAGGCAAGUUGACUACUUUGGACCUGACCCAGAUGGUGGAUUCUGCUCAAAGCCUCCCGGGAUGAAGACAGGAAGUUGAUUCGAGGUAGCAUCCCUUUUAAAUCUGGACUCUCGAGGAAUGUUCCAUGGUGCCCUGUCUUGGCCCUCUCGUGAACCUAAACC